rnacentral:rRNA from 1 species
GACGAACGCUGGCGGCGUGCUUAACACAUGCAAGUCGAACGGAAAGGCCCUGCUUUUGUGGGGUGCUCGAGUGGCGAACGGGUGAGUAACACGUGAGUAACCUGCCCUUGACUUUGGGAUAACUUCAGGAAACUGGGGCUAAUACCGGAUAGGAGCUCCUGCUGCAUGGUGGGGGUUGGAAAGUUUCGGCGGUUGGGGAUGGACUCGCGGCUUAUCAGCUUGUUGGUGGGGUAGUGGCUUACCAAGGCUUUGACGGGUAGCCGGCCUGAGAGGGUGACCGGCCACAUUGGGGCUGAGAUACGGCCCAGACUCCUACGGGAGGCAGCAGUGGUGGAUAUUGCACAAUGGGCGGAAGCCUGAUGCAGCAACGCCGCGUGCGGGAUGACGGCCUUCGGGUUGUAAACCGCUUUCGCCUGUGACGAAGCGUGAGUGACGGUAAUGGGUAAAGAAGCACCGGCUAACUACGUG